AGAGUUUGAUUCUGGCUCAGGAUGAACGCUAGCGACAGGCUUAACACAUGCAAGUCGAGGGGCAGCACAGGUAGCAAUACCGGGUGGCGACCGGCGCACGGGUGAGUAACGCGUAUGCAACUUACCUAUCAGAGGGGGAUAACCCGGCGAAAGUCGGACUAAUACCGCAUGAAGCAGGGGUCCCGCAUGGGGAUAUUUGCUAAAGAUUCAUCGCUGAUAGAUAGGCAUGCGUUCCAUUAGGCAGUUGGCGGGGUAACGGCCCACCAAACCGACGAUGGAUAGGGGUUCUGAGAGGAAGGUCCCCCACAUUGGUACUGAGACACGGACCAAACUCCUACCGGAGGCAGCAGUGAAGGAAUAUUGGUCAAUGGGCGUAAGCCUGAACCAGCCAAGUCGCGUGAGGGAUGAAGGUUCUAUGGAUCGUAAACCUCUUUUAUAAGGGAAUAAAGUGCGGGACGUGUCCCGUUUUGUAUGUACCUUAUGAAUAAGGAUCGGCUAACUCCGUGCCAGCAGCCGCGGUAAUACGGAGGAUCCGAGCGUUAUCCGGAUUUAUUGGGUUUAAAGGGUGCGUAGGCGGCCUUUUAAGUCAGCGGUGAAAGUCUGUGGCUCAACCAUAGAAUUGCCGUUGAAACUGGGAGGCUUGAGUAUGUUUGAGGCAGGCGGAAUGCGUGGUGUAGCGGUGAAAUGCUUAGAUAUCACGCAGAACCCCGAUUGCGAAGGCAGCCUGCCAAGCCAUGACUGACGCUGAUGCACGAAAGCGUGGGGAUCAAACGGGAUUAGAUACCCUGGUAGUCCACGCAGUAAACGAUAAAGGGUAGCUGUUUGCGAUACAGUGUAAGCGGCACAGCGAAAGCGUUAAGUGAUCCACCUGGGGAGUACGCCGGCAACGGUGAAACUCAAAGGAAUUGACGGGGGCCCGCACAAGCGGAGGAACAUGUGGUUUAAUUCGAUGAUACGCGAGGAACCUUACCCGGGUUUGAACGCAUUCGGACCGAGGUGGAAACACCUUUUCUAGCAAUAGCCGUUUGCGAGGUGCUGCAUGGUUGUCGUCAGCUCGUGCCGUGAGGUGUCGGCUUAAGUGCCAUAACGAGCGCAACCCUUGCCACUAGUUACUAACAGGUGAUGCUGAGGACUCUGGUGGGACUGCCAGCGUAAGCUGCGAGGAAGGCGGGGAGGACGUCAAAUCAGCACGGCCCUUACAUCCGGGGCGACACACGUGUUACAAUGGCGUGGACAAAGGGAUGCCACCUGGCGACAGGGAGCGAAUCCCCAAACCACGUCUCAGUUCGGAUCGGAGUCUGCAACCCGACUCCGUGAAGCUGGAUUCGCUAGUAAUCGCGCAUCAGCCAUGGCGCGG
rnacentral:rRNA from 1 species